rnacentral:rRNA from 1 species
UACGGAGGGUGCGAGCGUUGUCCGGAAUCACUGGACGUAAAGGGCGCGUAGGCGGCGCGGAAAGUCGUCGGUGAAAGCUCGGGGCUCAACCCUGAGUCUGCCGGUGAUACUCCCGCGCUCGAGCUCACUAGAGGCAGAUGGAAUUCCGGGUGUAGCGGUGGAAUGCGUAGAGAUCCGGAAGAACACCGGUGGCGAAGGCGGUCUGACUGGGGUCGAGGCUGACGCUGAUGCGCGACGAGCGUGGGGAGCAAACAGG